rnacentral:lncRNA from 1 species
CAAGGCCUUGUUUAUGCAGCACUGCAUUUAUUCUGGGACAUUUCAGGUGAAGCCAAGAAGAUUUCUUUCUGAAACAAGAUACUUUCAAUAAAACUGCAAAGAAGAAAACCACCACCUCUUAAAGAAGUACAUUGGUGUUCUUUAUUCACUCAAUCUGUAUCAUGAGACUUCGGGAAAACCUGGUGGAUUAAAUACCCUCCUGCAACCUCACUGAAAGUGGCAGAAAAGGGAUUAAAAUGGAUAUGAGCUGCAAGGAUAAAGAGAACUGCAAAGGAGAAGAGAACAAUAACACCUUAGAACAAUAAAAUCUCAGAACUGGAAAGCAAAUGGACGAGCUGAAAUUGUCUUAGGAGAUGAGAGAAAUAAAAACUGGACAUUGAAGAGAGGCCCCAGUC